GACGAACGCUGGCGGCGUGCUUAACACAUGCAAGUCGAACGGAAAGGCCCUGCUUUUGUGGGGUGCUCGAGUGGCGAACGGGUGAGUAACACGUGAGUAACCUGCCCUUGACUUUGGGAUAACUUCAGGAAACUAGGGCUAAUACCGGAUAGGAGCUCCUGCUGCAUGGUGGGGGUUGGAAAGUUUCGGCGGUUGGGGAUGGACUCGCGGCUUAUCAGCUUGUUGGUGGGGUAGUGGCUUACCAAGGCUUUGACGGGUAGCCGGCCUGGGAGGGUGACCGGCCACAUUGGGACUGAGAUACGGCCCAGACUCCUACGGGAGGCAGCAGUGGGGAAUAUUGCACAAUGGGCGGAAGCCUGAUGCAGCAACGCCGCGUGCGGGAUGACGGCCUUCGGGUUGUAAACCGCUUUCGCCUGUGACGAAGCGUGAGUGACGGUAAUGGGUAAAGAAGCACCGGCUAACUACGUG
rnacentral:rRNA from 1 species